rnacentral:rRNA from 1 species
AGUGAACGCUGGCGGUAGGCCUAACACAUGCAAGUCGAACGGCAGCACAGUAAGAGCUUGCUCUUACGGGUGGCGAGUGGCGGACGGGUGAGGAAUACAUCGGAAUCUACUUUUUCGUGGGGGAUAACGUAGGGAAACUUACGCUAAUACCGCAUACGACCUACGGGUGAAAGCAGGGGAUCUUCGGACCUUGCGCGAUUGAAUGAGCCGAUGUCGGAUUAGCUAGUUGGCGGGGUAAAGGCCCACCAAGGCGACGAUCCGUAGCUGGUCUGAGAGGAUGAUCCGGCCCACUGGAACUGAGACAAGGUCCCGGCUCCUACGGGAGGCAGCAGUUGGGAAUAUUGGACAAUGGGGGGAAGCCUUAUCCAGCCAUACCGGGUUGGUUAAGGAGGCCUUCCGGUUGGAAAACCCUUUUUGUGGGAAAGAAAAGCAGCCAGUUAAUACCCCGCUGUUUUGACGGUACCCAAAGAAUAAGCACCGGCUAACUUCGUG